GAACUUAGCCCAAAAACGAGCUAUAGCUCGAUCAUAAGGGUCUUUAGGCAAGAUGGAAGGGCCUUCAAAUGUCUCAUCAAUAUAUUCAACAAUUACCAUUGACUCACAAAGUGGCUUGCCAUUGUGAAUUAGUACUGGAACUUUUUUGUGAAUUGGAUUGGAUUCAAGAAGUAGAGAGCUCUUAUUAUGUAGAUCAUCUUCUAUAUAUUCAUAUUCCACACCCUUAAUCUUGAGAGCCCAUUCAACUCUAUGACUAAAAGGGCUAUACCAUAGACCAAGUAACUUAACAU